UUCACUUAAAGGAAAGAAACCAAUAUUCAUCCUUUUUGCUUGAUUUAAUUUCGGUUUUUUGUCUAUAUCAAAAUUGGCAUAAUAUGAAUAUCCUUUUCUCAUUGAUCUAAGCCACAAGAAAAACAAUGAAUAGAAAAAAAAAACUUAGCUAGAAAGAGUUGGGCUUUACCCUAGUUUCUAAAAACGCUCUCUUCUCUUGCCGCCGUUUGGUGAAAAUUUCAGAUCUGAGGCUGGAGAGUAGUGGUUUUCUUAGCACCGGCUCUGGCCACUCCCUUAGUUGCUUAAUCUUGCUUUAGUUUUUCGUUUUCUUUCCUUUGCGGCUUUGUCUGGAGAAAACUUUCUUUGAAUUUGAUCUGGUUUCGGGUUUUGAAGAUGGUGUGCGAUAGCUGAGCUUGCUCAUGGUUGGAGUUUCUCCUGCCGGCUUUGUCUCCUGUAUCUUCAUCUGGAAACGAUCUGUUUAGAUUGGAUCGUGUUUUGAAGGAUUCUAACUAGACGUCCAUGGGCGUAUCAGACGUCGUCGUCGCAUCCAGAAGCUUGUUUGAGGUUCUCUCUUAGUGGUUUUGCUUGUUGGGUUAUGAAUUCUUGGUUCUUGGUUUUGAGAGAUCGGCUCUCAUCGUGAUAGGAGGUGGUUGAUGUUGUCUUUGGGUUGGCCGUGGGCAACCUUGAUAAAUCUCAUUUGCAGGAGCUUGAGGAGAAGAUGUUUUCUAGGUUUCAAGCCUUUCUGUUUCUGUUAUUUGUAUAAGGGAUUGCCCUCUCUCGAUUUUGGUUUGAAAUUUCUUGCUUGGUAUUUCUAGUUGUGUCUUUAGUUCCCUUUGUUAGGGUCUAAUUUCCGGGAAAAUUUCGUAUUCCUCAGGCUCUUGUCUUCGGGGACUGUUUCGUUGUCCGCCGACUUUAGUUUCCCUCUUUUGGCCUUUUGUAAUUUCUCCAUGGUUCCACAACAAGCUUUUCUAAUAAAAUUCAGAUGACAAAAAAAAAAAAAA